CCAGGGAGUGAAGGGAGCCCAGGGGUCUGGGGGCAGGAAGGACAGCAGAAUGAAUAGGACUUUAUUACCCUUAUAGGACUACACGACCUGGUGAUUCUAUAUCACGUACAACAGGAAGAGUGAGAAGUUACGUUCCAUUUAGUAUGAUGUGCGAAGUGCACUCUACUGUCACCUGUACCUAAGUAGAACAACAAACAAACAAAAUCCACCUGGGAAGCGAGACUACUGUAUCUAGAAUCCCUGCUCUACCUGGGCCGCAGUGGCAUGGACAAGGGAAGGCUCGGGAAGUGUGAAGAUGUCCCAUCUGCCAUCUCGGCCUGAGAUAAGAACAUAAUGAAGUUGAAAGAGAAAGAUGGGGAAAAUGAGGAAGCUUAUUCGUGACAGAAAAGAUGUUCACAAUACACAGUCAACAAAAACCUGUAUGCACGAGCCAACUUUAUAAGAAAAAAAAACAACACGUCUCUGUUUAGGAAGUGCCCUGAAUGACGUGUCCUCGCCAUUGGAUUGGCAUCAGGGUCAAGGACCGAGCUGUCAGCAACAUUUCCUCUGGGGAGCAAGCCUGACUGGAGCUGCUGCUGAUGUGACUGUGGAGAGACAAGCAAUCCUUCAGCCAUCUGAGAAGACGGCGGGAGUCAGAGGAAGCCCUAACGCAGCGAGACCCGGAACCAACAUAAAAAAUAAUGAUAAUAAAAAACUGGGCAAACUCUCUACGGUCCCUUCUCCCAGUCACCUGUAAAAGUUCACUCCUUUUAGUCCUCUAGAAAUGGGGGCCAAAUUGGUGUUUCAGUGAUCCCGUGAAACUUUCAUCAGACCAUUCGGUCUUGGUAACUUCUUAGGUUUUCCUGUGAUUUGAGGGAUUGAGAUGGAAAAAAGUCUCUGCACAUUUUGAAGCUAAAGGAAACUUCUUCAGCCUGAAAGAAGAUCCAGGGAGACUGGGGAAAGGCAAGAAGGUGCCCAGGAAGAAUGUGCAAUGGUUCCACCACAGAGCAAAGUCAUGGCGACUUUAGUUAACCUUUGUGGUCCUCAGUUUCAAAUCAAAUUAGAGAAAAUGCGGUGUGGAUGGAGAAAGGAUGAAUGAGACACUUUCUGCAAAGUUCAUACCUCAGCAGGCUGAAUAAAAGGGCUGCUUUUUGAGGUGCA